UGCAAGUCGAGCGGACUCGAGUUAACUGAGCCUUCGGGGAACGAUAACGGCGUCGAGCGGCGGACGGGGGACUAAUGGCUAGGAAAUUGGCCUGAUGUGGGGGAUAACCAUUGUAAACGAUGGCUAGUUCCUCAUGAUGCCUACAGGCCAUAGAGGGGGACCUUCGGGUCUCUCGCGUCAGGAUAUGCCUAGGGGGGAUUAUCUAGUUGGUGAGGUAAGGGCUCACCAGGGCCACUAUCCCUACCUGGUCUGAGAGGAUGAUCACCCACUGUGGAACUGACACACGGUCCACACUCCUACGGGAGGCAGCAGUGGGGAAUAUUGCACUGUGGGAGCAUGCCUGAUGCAACCAUGCCGCGUGUGUGAAGAACGCCUUCGGGUUGUAAAUCACUUUCAGUCGUGAAGAAGGUGGUAGAGUUAAUGCCUGUAUCAUUUGACGUUAUCGACAGAAAAACCCCCGGCUAUCUCCGUGCCCGCCCCCGCGGAAAUACGGAGGGUGCGAGCGUUACUCAAUAUUAGUGGGCGUAGAGCGCAUGCGGGUGGUUUGUUAUCUCAUAUGUGAACCCCCGGCUCUCAACCUCAGAAUAGCUGUUGACUCUGGCACACUAGAGUACUGUAGAGGGGGGUAGAAUCUCAUGUGUAGCGGAGAAAUGCAUAGAGAUCUGAAAGAAUACCGGUGGCGAAGGCCUCUCUCUGGACAGAUACUGACACUCACAUGCGAAAGCGUGGAGAGCAAACGAGAUUAUAUACUCUGGUACUCCACCCCAUACACUGAUGUCUACUUGGAGGUUGUGGUCUUGACCCGUGGCGUUCGGAGCUAACGCGUUAAAUCUCACCGCGUGGAGAGUACGGUCGCGAGAUUAAAACUCAAAUGAUUUGACGGGCGCCCGCACAACGCGGGUGGAGCAUGUGGUUUUAUUCAAUGCCACGCGAAAAACUCUUACCUACUCUAGACCUCUCAGAGCACUCUACAGAUAUGGAUUGCUGCCUUCCGGGAACUCUGAGAACAGGUGCUGCAUGGCUGUCGUCAGCUUCGUGUCGUGAAAUGUGUGGGAUUA
rnacentral:rRNA from 1 species